UUGAUCAUCACGCGCGACUUCGCCGGGAUUUGGUACCCCGCCACCACGGCGUCCUCUGCCGUUUCAUGGAGCAAGAGGGGGAUCGGAGGGUGGAGCCUGAGGGUUUCUUUCAGUGUGCACUUCAGGUAGGUUAGUUUAUCGAAAUCGGAUUCUUCCACACGGCGGUCGAGCCCCACCACCUCCGCCAGCUCCUGUUGGACUCUCUUCAUUUUUUCUGGGUUUCUCAUUAGCUCCGACAAGGCCCACUCGAUCGCCGAUGCC
rnacentral:lncRNA from 1 species